CCUACGGGAGGCAGCAGUGAGGAAUAUUGGUCAAUGGGCGCGAGCCUGAACCAGCCAAGUAGCGUGAAGGAUGACUGCCCUACGGGUUGUACACCUCUUUUGUCGGGGAGCAACGGGCGCCACGUGUGGCGUCACUGAGAGUACCCGGAGAAAAAGCAUCGGCUAACUCCGUGCCAGCAGCCGCGGUAAUACGGAGGAUGCGGUCGUUAUCCGGAUUUAUUGGGUUUAAAGGGUUCGUAGGCGGAUCGUUAAGUCAGUGGUCAAAUUGAGGGGCUCAACCCCUUCCCGCCAUUGAAACUGGCGUUCUUGAGUGGAAGAGAGGUAUGCGGAAUGCGUGGUGUAGCGGUGAAAUGCAUAGAUAUCACGCAGAACCCCGAUUGCGAAGGCAGCAUGCCGGCUUCCGACUGACGCUGAAGCACGAAAGCGUGGGGAUCGAACAGGAUUAGAUACCCCUGUAGUC
rnacentral:rRNA from 1 species